rnacentral:rRNA from 1 species
UACGAAGGGGGCUAGCGUUGUUCGGAAUUACUGGGCGUACAGCGCGCGCAGGCGGUCCUUCAAGUCAGAGGUGAAAGCCCAGAGCUCAACUCUGGAAUGGCCUUUGAGACUAGAGGACUUGGGUACGGGAGAGGUGAGUGGAAUUCCGAGUGUAGAGGUGAAAUUCGUAGAUAUUCGCAAGAACACCAGUGGCGAAGGCGGCUCACUGGACCAUAACUGACGCUGAUGCACGAAAGCUAGGGGAGCAAACAGG